CAGUGUCACAUCAUUUAGUAUUAUUAUCAUUACCAUAUCUGGGUCUAAAACUUUGGAAAAUCUAGAUCAGAUGAAUAAAUAAAUGACACUCAAAAAGCUGAAGGACCAACCUUGCUAAA